UACCGAGUUUAAACUCCCAAACCCCUGUGAAAUACCUUACUGUUGCCUCGGCGGAUCAGCCCGCUCCCGGUAAAACGGGACGGCCCGCCAGAGGACCCCUAAACUCUGUUUCUAUAUGUAACUUCUGAGUAAAACCAUAAAUAAAUCAAAACUUUCAACAACGGAUCUCUUGGUUCUGGCAUCGAUGAAGAACGCAGCAAAAUGCGAUAAGUAAUGUGAAUUGCAGAAUUCAGUGAAUCAUCGAAUCUUUGAACGCACAUUGCGCCCGCCAGUAUUCUGGCGGGCAUGCCUGUUCGAGCGUCAUUUCAACCCUCAAGCCCUCGGGUUUGGUGUUGGGGAUCGGCGAGCCUUUCUGGCAAGCCGGCCCCGAAAUCUAGUGGCGGUCUCGCUGCAGCCUCCAUUGCGUAGUAGUAAAACCCUCGCAACUGGAACGCGGCGCGGCCAAGCCGUUAAACCCCCAACUUCUGAAUGUUGACCUCGGAUCAGGUAGGAAUACCCGCUGAACUUAAGCAUAU
rnacentral:rRNA from 1 species